CCCAGCAGCUGAGUCGGGCUGAGCCGGCCGCCGGCAGAGAGCGCGGCCCGCCCACCAGGUCACAUGGCUCCGAGCCGAGCAGAGGAUCAAAGGGGCUUUGUGGCCGCGGAACAAGGAGCCUCCCAGAGCGCGGGCAGAGGAGCCUAAGGACUCCGAUUCGGGCGGCCGCUCCUACAGCCCUCAGGGCCCCGGGCGAUGAGUCACCCUCCCUGCAGACCCCGGUGAAGCGCUGGGACCCUGAGGGGGAUGGGCUAGGUGGUCCCCAGAGGGAGGAGCUUGGGAGCCACGCUGUUUGGGGCUGGGCCUGGGCGCUGGGAUCUGCCAGACCCAUCCUGUGCCACGACCUCUGACCCUGAUGAGUCACUCCCAGGCACAGGCGUGGCCAAGGCAGCCCCAGGCCUACUCCCGACUAGGAGAGAGCUCCCGCUGGUUUUGGGAAUUUGCAGAGGCCGGGAGCGAGGAAGUUCAAGUGCAAAGGAGCCCUGAGUGACACCUGAGCAGGCCGUCCUAGGGCCAUCCGUCCUCCCACUCCCUGGAGGAGUGGCUCUGGCCCAGGCCCCGCUCCGAGGCAUGCUCUCCUUCCCCAUGCCCACACCCCCCCCACAUGGCUGGUGGGUGAGGCCCCAAGCACCCACCCCACUGGCCACACUGGCAGACUGACCACGUCCAGUUGGUCCACCUUCCAGUUCCUCAGAAGCCAGCUCUCCCUAGUAGCAGCCACUGGCGGGGCCAACCUGGCCACUCCGCACUCCAGAGGCCAAUUUCCUCCCCGCGGCCUCCCAAGUCUCCCAGUUUGCCAUAAUGGUCAGGGGGCUGCCCUCCUGCUCCCUUCCCCACCCUGCACAGAGUGUAGAGGCGCUGCCGUGGGUCUCUGGGCCCCCGGGCCAAACACAGGGAGCGUCAGGGGAGGGACUGGGCGUCCAGAGUCCUUGUUCCCAUCCCAGUGGGAGGGAGGACAGUGAGGGCCUCAGAGACACACCCUAGAAUCAAGGCCCCCCUCAUUCAAAUCAGCCUUGGCUCAUUACCCAACCCUGUGGGACCUGACCUUCCCCACCUGUGAAAUGGACAUGAUCACCUCUAGUCGCAAGAACUAAGACAAGACAUGACGGACAUGACGUCCGGAAGGAGGAAGACUGGCCACUCAAAAUUGACGCUUCUCUUUCCUCCAAGAAGGUGGUUUCCUAGGACAGGGAAUAGGGAGGGCCGCGCCCCUCCAGCCACCCCCUGCCCAACCUGCUGGGCCCUUGUCGCUGGGCCCUGAAGGACAGCUCCAGCAACCAUCACCAAACGACACCAGGAGGGACUCCUGCCAUGCCGGGUGUCAAGGCUGACACGGAACCUUGGAGAUGCCAUCUCCACUCUACACCUGUCCUGUGGACAGGGCCCUUCCUUCCCAGCGCUCCCCUUGGAACCUCCUUCCCUGCCUCUCACCUAGCCUUGUCCCCCAGGGCCCACCACCCCUUCCUGGGCACCACGUGGGCAACCGCCAGCUCCCCGAGGCCACUCCCUGCGCUACCUUCCUCCUCCCCCUACACCCCUGCAGGCCGCUGGCCCUGGAGGUGGCCUGGGUGCUUUCCACACGUUCCCUGCUCACCGCCCUCCGGAUGGGGGUCUCCAAGGGCACAGGAGAGGGACUCCCUGCGCCUGACAAGACCCCCAGCCCGGGGGGGCGCUUUUCCAACGCAGAAGCCCUUCCCCCACUCUGGGGCCUGCUCAAAGUUCUCGACCGCUCAGCACACACAGCAUCUAGAGGAAGAGCCUGAAGCCCUCACAGCCGCCCACCGAAUCCCGCAGCAGAAACAGAAGGCCCAAGGCACCAGAAGCACACAUUUUCAAGUUUCCAGUGGCCACAUUUAUAAGAAGAAACAGAAUCUAUUUUAGGGAGAAAGAGAGAGAGACAGACAGAGCAUAAGCAGGGGGAGCAGCAGAGGGAGAGGGAGAAGCGGACUUCCCGCCGAGCAGGGAGCCCAACACGGGGGCUCGAUCCCAGGACCCCGGGAUCACGACCUGAGCCGAAGGCAGACACUUCAUCGACGGCGCCCUGAAACUCUUUAGAUAUUUUACGUUCUUUUUUCUUUCUGUACUAAGUCUUUGAAAUUCAGUGUGCAUCGUACAUUCACGGCACCUCCCGAUUUGGACUAGGCACGUUUCUUUUUUUCUCGUUUUUAAGGUUUUAUUUAUUUAAGUAAUUUCUGCACCCCCUGUGGGGCUCGAACUCACGACCCCGAAAUCAAGGGUCGCACGCUCUUCCAAGGGAGCCCGCCGGGCACCGCUGGUCGCAGCACGUUUUAAGCGAUCGCUGGCUGCCGUGGCUGCCAUGCUGGGCACAGCUGUCCAGGUGUUCCCGACUGCACCCUGGGGGUACACCAGGUCCUUGGCGAGCUGUUUAUUCAGACCACAAUGUUUCAGCGCUAUGCUUCGUUCUCAGCGGUGGAUGCACAGCCACAGUUGGGGUGCUACAGGAUACAGCUCCAUGGAACCCACAGGAGCAUCUCCUAUAUGGCUGAGGCCACUGAUCCCUACAUCACAGCAUCCCCCUUCUGGGAUGUGCUGGGGACAUUUCUCCCAGAUUCUACUAUCAGAAAGAGCAGAACUUCUCCAGAGAAGUUACUUUGCUAGAUUUGUGCUAAGCAUCAGUGAGACCACCACCCGUUUCUGGGGUUCUCUAUCCUAUCUGGUUCACAGGUGCUCAGGCCGGGGCGAACUCCUGACUCGAAGGCAGCCAACCACAGGCUGACCAGCGGCCCGACCUCACGCCUGGCUCAAACAGGUGAUGAGCUGGGCCGCUGGAGUUCUGCCCCCCUCACCCCCAGCAGCCCAGACCAAGGAGCCUUUUCUGAUCGAGGGUCCAGAAGCUUGAGGUCAUGUAGAAGCUUGAGGGCUGGGAAGUUGUCUGGGGCCAUUUGCAAAGGGAGAGAGGGCAGAGUAGGGGGGAAGCGCAGGCGGAGACCCCAAGAAAGGAGCAAGGGAGAAGAGAGCAUGGGCUGGCUGAGCUCUUGCAAACCCUGCCCUUUCUGAGCCCAGGCAUUCCACACGUCGACUUCCUUGCGCCUUACGUCCUUCCAAUAACCAGCUCGUCCUGCCUCUGUUUACUGACUUCAAAGUCACACACAGCCACACUGAUUAGAAAAGAGUCUAUAAAGACAGAAAGCAGAUUGGGGGUUGCCAAGACCGGGGUGGGAGGGGGGGUGAGAACUGACCGCUUAGUAGACAUAGGGUUUCCUUUUGAGGGGAUGGGAAUGUUCUGGAACUAGAUCAUGGUAAUGUUGCCCAACCCUGUGAAUGUGCUAAGUGCUAUUAACGGUAAAUUUCAUGUUCUGGGUACUUGAUACCAUAAAAAAUAUAUUU